rnacentral:rRNA from 1 species
ACAUGCCUACAAAAUAACGUUAAUGCAUUGGAUCCCAUUAGAACUUCGCAGUUAACCGUGCUCAGGCUAGAGUAGUACUGAAAUGAGUGACUGCUCGAGAAGUCCUAGUGUUUUACAUGCC